UAAAGCUUGAUAAGAGGCUUGCAUGUUCGUUAUCUGUUCCAUAUACGUAGAGUGUAUACGCAGUGUUGGGCUGUGAAGAUACGUAUAAUUAUGUGUGUUAUUGUCUGGCUAUAAUACAAGUACGUGUAUAAUAACUAAUGUGGUUUGCAAUUAGCUUAUCUCAGUUGUAGGAGAUUGUUCAUGUGAGGUUUAGCAAUGUACCCAAUGGUACACAAGAAUUCAUGUCCUGAUCUGAGGAAAGAGUAUGUGCAGGUAUAAGGGCUUAUACAAGGUCAAGGUACUGCCCUCUAAAACCACCACUUAGUCCACUUGGGUAUAUACUUAUUGCAAUUGCUAACUGCAUGUCAACUUUACCUAUACAGCUAACUUCCCUCCUCUCAUCUAUGGUCCAGAGGCUGUACUGGUGUACUCAUGACAAGGGCAGUAUCAAUGUGAUAUUGGUGGAUGGACUGCCAGCUGGGACCACUCUACAGCCUACCCCUGCAUGAGGGCAACUAUACACUGCAUGGAGUACACCUUCAGACUGCAGUUUGAUGGGAUUGCUGAUAUUGCUCUAGUGUGUUAGUCCAUGCAUACACUGAUGAGCUGGAGGCUGGCUCAACUCUGGAAGUGCAGGUAAAGAUGGUUGAUGACUUGUAGCAAUGUAUUAGACCUUUGGUGGAGGGAGGUCAAUAUUGAGCAACCAUAUGCUAGCUGAGUUGGCAUGGGCUGAGAGGUUUCAUUUGUCAUUGUAUUUUAAACUACAGUAUGGUGUAAUUAUUUAUCCAUGCAUGUAUGGAUGGACAUGUGGCAGUACUAUUGGAGGUGACCUUUCACUAAUUAUGACCUUUCAAUGACAUUCAACCAAAUUGCUUUGUGUACUGUGAAAGGGGUGGAAUGUGACACCUCUCUGAAAAGGGGGAGGAUCUGAGCAAUGAUUAUGUUUACUGGGAAACAAGGCUAAAAGGGGCGAAAUUCCUCUUUAUGUGUGGUCCCCACUGUGUACACUGUAGCUAGUGGUUGACUUAUGUUUUUUGUAAUAAGGUUUGCAUUUUGUGAAUGUGGUCUGUCUGUGUAAGACUGUGGAAUGUGGGGAUGAGUGGAGAAUUUCCUUGAAUCACGUUUACUGAACCAUGUUAAGUGGUAGUCAUUUGAAAGCUCUCAAUGAACACUGAAUACCCAUAAUUAUCAUCACACCCUCACACAACACACACCUGCCCACACACAGGCACUGGGCGUACUACUGUUCAAGCUGUGCUUCAUGGAUACUCCAUUUGGUGACAACCCUCUAGCCAUAGUCAGUGCUCAGUACAGCAUUCCUGAAGACUCUCCCUACACACAAGACCCAGCUGCAUAACUUGAGAGGCUGCCUGUUGACCUCUGACCCUGAGCUGCGUCCCAGUAUCUGGCAAGUGUGUGAGGUGGUGUCCAGGAUCACAGGAACCACCAACCAUGUCACUAAUGUCUUUGUAUAUAUGAGAGCUAAACUGGAUGUCUGUCCUUUCAAAGAGCUGGAGGAUUUCAAGAGCUGCUCACUAGAGAACUGUGUAGUUACUAGUUACCUAGGUCACCACCAUUAAUGUGCUAUUGUUUAUAGUGUGGUGGCUGUGAAUCAUUAUCAACACCCACUCAAAUAAUUAUAAUUGUGUAUCUAAAAAUAGAUCAGUUUAAUUAGUAGGGGAAGGCCCCAGAAAGAGGGUGUGGCACUUUACUUUGUUAUGUUUACUGCAGUGACAAAUAAGGGGUGAGUGUUUGAAUAAAGCUUCAAUGGCUACUGGAGAAGACUCAGGGUUAGUGCCGUGGAUUCGCAAGAAACUCGGUUUCAAGACCCCAGAGAGG